CCGACACUUUUGUUUUGUGUGUUUUUUUAUUUAUUGAGUCCUUUCAUAACAGCAGAGCUUUGAUGAGUUUGAGCUGAUGGAAGGAGGAUCAGGAAUAGAGUAGAGGACCUGCUGAUCUACUGGUUCUAGUAGAUUUUAUAAAUGCAUCACUGAGACAAGACAACAGCGCUGGACCAAUCAGGAGAGAGAAGACACAGAGGACUGAAGGGACACAGAAAAUCCUGAGAUGAAGUUUCCUGAUGCAACGGGGGGACACCUGAGGACACAGAAUAAAGAGACAGACAUCAUGUUGGAUGUCCUCAGCCGGUAAACCUCCACCUUCAACACCACCAGUCAGAUGGAGGAAGAUAAGAGAACCCUGUUGACAAAAAAAGUAAGAAAACAUAUUUUUACCCAAGUAACAAUUUUAAAUAUGGAUGAAAUUGAGGUCAAAAUUCUAACUUUUUCUUUUUUCUGUAGAUGUAUAUUCUCAGUUUUUUAAUCCUGUUAUGUUUUCUCUUUAUUUCAUUUCUCCGUCAACUCAUGUCACAUGACUGGAGCUGACCAACAAUUAAAGCAAAAGACCUGCUCCACCUGCUGAUCUACUGGUUGUAA